CAGCACAAGUUAUGAUUCUGACUCUGCCAAGUAGAUGUGGUUUGUAGCUCAUAGAAUACAUACCAGAAGGACUUGGCAGCUGUCAGACACGGACAUGGCUCAGUUUCCAUAUGAACACAGUAAAUGGAAGGACAAAGGGGUGUGAGGAACUGUGCCAUGUCAUCACGGUGCUGUCCGUUCAGGAGGCAGCUGUGUGCAGUUGGGCUUUUGUGUGGGUCUCCGGAUCAAGAGCUGUGAAGGAUCCUGUGAAACCAACAACUUACCUGCCAUCCAGGGUCCAUUGGUCCAGCAGCAGCAGCAUCGGUCCCAGCAGCUUGUCAGUAUCCAGCAGCCGAGAUCCAGCGUUCCUCCCCAAAGGCCAGCGUUUGGCCUGAGGGUAGAAGGUCCUGGACCCACCGCUCACUACCAUCUGACCUGUACAUAGAUGACAUCCGAUUAUCAGUGGGCUAUACUGGGGAUUUGUUUUGUUCUGUUGCCAAGGAAGGGGUAUUUUGGGUCUGAGCUUCAAGCUCCUUCAUUGCAGUCCACUGUUAGCUGUGUUAUAUGUGUUUUUGUGGUGUUCCCCAUAUGCACCAUUCAUGUAACCAACCCUUAAUACAAUACUUACCUGUUUCAACAUAA